rnacentral:rRNA from 1 species
GAUGAACGCUGGCGGUGUGCCUAAUACAUGCAAGUCGUACGCAUUCCCGUUUUUGAUUGAAGGUGCUUACACCUGAUUGAUAAAACAUCGGAAUGAGUGGCGGACGGGUGAGUAACACGUGGGUAACCUGCCCAGAAGUGGGGGAUAACAUUUGGAAACAGAUGCUAAUACCGCAUAAUAGAUAGAACCACAUGGUUCUAUUUUGUAAAGAUGGCCUUUGUGCUAUC